rnacentral:rRNA from 1 species
ACUGAACGCUGGCGGCAUGCUUUACACAUGCAAGUCGAACGGUAACAGGUUAAGCUGACGAGUGGCGAACGGGUGAGUAAUGCAUCGGAACGCGCCCGAUCGUGGGGGAUAACGCAGCGAAAGCUGCGCUAAUACCGCAUACGAUCUGAGGAUGAAAGCGGGGGACCGUAAGGCCUCGCGCGAUCGGAGCGGCCGAUGUCAGAUUAGGUAGUUGGUGGGGUAAAGGCUCACCAAGCCGACGAUCUGUAGCUGGUCUGAGAGGACGACCAGCCACACUGGGACUGAGACACGGCCCAGACUCCUACGGGAGGCAGCAGUGGGGAAUUUUGGACAAUGGGCGCAAGCCUGAUCCAGCAAUGCCGCGUGCAGGAAGAAGGCCUUCGGGUUGUAAACUGCUUUUGUACGGAGCGAAAAGGCUUUCUCUAAUACAGGAGGCUGAUGACGGUACCGUAAGAAUAAGCACCGGCUAACUACGUGCCAGCAGCCGCCGUAACAC